rnacentral:rRNA from 1 species
GUAAAGAGUUGCGUAGGUGGUUUUGUUAAGUGAAUGGUGAAAUCUGGCGGCUCAACCGUACAGACUAUUAUUCAAACUGGCAAACUCGAGAAUGGUAGAGGUAUCUGGAAUUUCUAGUGUAGGAGUGAAAUCCGUAGAUAUUAGAAGGAACACCAAUGGCGUAGGCAGGUUACUGGACCAUCUCUGACACUGAGGCACGAAAGCGUGGGGAGCGAACCGGAUUAGAUACCCGGGUAGUCCACGCCGUAAACUAUGGAUACUAGCUGUUGGGGGUAUCGACCCCCCCAGUAGCGAAGCUAACGCGUUAAGUAUCCCGCCUGUGGAGUACGGUCGCAAGACUAAACAUAAAGGAAUUGACGGGGACCCGCACAAGCGGUGGAUUGUGUUCUUUAAUUCGAUGAUAAACGGAGAACCUUACCAGGGUUUGACAUCCCAAGAAUUUUGCCGAAAGGCGAGAGUGCUUUAUUGAACUUGGUGACAGGUGAUGCAUGGCCGUCGUCAGCUCGUGUCGUGAUAUGUUUGGUUAAGUCCAUCAACGAGCGCAACCCUUGUGAUUAGUUGUAUUUUUCUAAUCAGACUGCCCCGGCAACGGGGAGGAAGGAGGGGAUGAUGUCAGGUCAGUAUUUCCCUUACAUCCUGGGCUAGAAACGCAAUACAAUGGCCAGUACAAUGUGCAGCGAAGCCGCGAGGUGAAGCAAAUCACAUCAAAGCUGGUCCCAGUUCGGAUAAGAGGCUGAAACUCGCCUCUUUGAAGUCGGAAUCGCUAGUAAUCGCAGAUCAGCAAGCUGCGGUGAAUACGUUCCCGGGUCUUGUACACACCGCCCGUCAAACCAUGAAAGUGACCAACACCCGAAGUCCG